rnacentral:rRNA from 1 species
GAAGGUCUUAGGAUUGUAAAAUUCUUUCACCGGGGACGAUAAUGACGGUACCCGGAGAAGAAGCCCCGGCUAACUUCGUGCCAGCAGCCGCGGUAAUAAAA